rnacentral:rRNA from 1 species
GACGAACGCUGGCGGCGUGCUUAACACAUGCAAGUCGUACGGUAAGGCCCUUUCGGGGUUACACGAGUGGCGAACGGGUGCGUAACACGUGAGUAACCUUCCCACUACUUUUGGUUAACGCGAAGAAAGUGGUGCUAAUAAUGGUUAUAUGCCCCUCCUGCUAGGUGGGGGUUGGAAAGCUCCGGCGGGUGUGGAUGGACUCGCGGCCUAUUAGCUGGUUGGUGGGGUAGUGGCCUACCAAGGCGGCGACGGGUAGCCGGCCUGAGAGGGUGACCGGCGACAUUGGGACUGAGAUACGGCACAGACUCCGACGGGAGGCAGCAGUGGGGAAUAUUGAACAAUGGGCGCAAGCCUGAUGAAGCAGCGCCGCGUGCGGGAUGACGGCUUUCUGGUUGUAGAACGCUUUCAGCAGGGACGAAGCUUUUUGUGACGGUACCUGAAGAAGAAGCACCGGCUAACUACGUG